UCAAGCAAUGAAGCGCACACGGUGGAUGCCUAGGCAGCCAGAGGCGAUGAAAGACGUGGAAGCCUGCGAUAAGGCUCGGCGAGGUGGCAAACAACCUGUGACCCGGGCAUUUCUGAAUGGGGAAACCCACCGAUCACAAGAUCGGUAUCCUGUCCUGAAUAUAUAGGGCCAGGAGGCGAACCAGGGGAACUGAAACAUCUAAGUACCCUGAGGAAAAGAAAUCAACCGAGAUUCCCCUAGUAGCGGCGAGCGAACGGGGACCAGCCCUUAAGCAUGUGACUGAUUAGGCGAAUACGCUGGGAAGCGUGGCCAUAGCGGGUGAUAGCCCCGUAGUCGAAAAUCUGAUCAUGUGAAAUCGAGUAGGUCGGGGCACGAGAAACCUUGACUGAAGACGGGGGGACCAUCCUCCAAGGCUAAAUACUCCUGGCUGACCGAUAGUGAACCAGUACCGUGAGGGAAAGGCGAAAAGAACCCCGGAGAGGGGAGUGAAAUAGAUCCUGAAACCGUGUGCGUACAAGCAGUAGGAGCAGACUUGUUCUGUGACUGCGUACCUUUUGUAUAAUGGGUCAGCGACUUAUAUUCAGUGGCGAGGUUAACCGUAUAGGGGAGCCGUAGGGAAACCGAGUCUUAACUGGGCGACACAGUCGCUGGAUAUAGACCCGAAACCGAGCGAUCUAUCCAUGAGCAGGUUGAAGAUUGAGUAACAUCAAUUGGAGGACCGAACCAGGAUCUGUUGAAAAAGAUUUGGAUGACUUGUGGAUCGGAGUGAAAGGCUAAUCAAGCUCGGAGAUAGCUGGUUCUCCUCGAAAGCUAUUUAGGUAGCGCCUCACGUAUCACCGCCGGGGGUAGAGCACUGUUUCGGCUAGGGGGUCAUCCCGACUUACCAACCCGAGGCAAACUCCGAAUACCGGUGAGUGCAGCGUGGGAGACACACGGCGGGUGCUAACGUCCGUCGUGAAAAGGGAAACAACCCAGACCGUCAGCUAAGGUCCCGAAAUCCUGGUUAAGUGGGAAACGAUGUGGGAAGGCUCAGACAGCUAGGAGGUUGGCUUAGAAGCAGCCAUCCUUUAAAGAAAGCGUAAUAGCUCACUAGUCGAGUCGGCCUGCGCGGAAGAUGUAACGGGGCUAAACCAGGUACCGAAGCUACGGGUUCAUCCUCUGGAUGAGCGGUAGAGGAGCGUCGUGUACGCCAAUGAAGGUGAAUUGAGAAGUUCGCUGGAGGUAUCACGAGUGCGAAUGCUGACAUGAGUAACGAUAAAGGGAGUGAAAAACUCCCUCGCCGGAAGACCAAGGGUUUCUGUUCGACGCUAAUCGGAGCAGAGUGAGUCGGCCCCUAAGGCGAGGCCGAAAGGCGUAGUCGAUGGGAAACGGGUCAAUAUUCCCGUACCGGACAUGGUUGCGAUGGGGGGACGAAGAAGGCUAGGUGAGCCAGGCGUUGGUAGUCCUGGUGAAAGUCAGUAGGCUGAGGGUUUAGGUAAAUCCGGAUCCUCAAGGCCGAGAGACGAGACGAAGACACCACGGUGUUGAAGUCAUCGAUGCCACGCUUCCAGGAAAAGCCUCUAAGCUUCAGAUCAUGUGCGACCGUACCCCAAACCGACACAGGUGGUCAGGGUGAGAAUCCCAAGGCGCUUGAGAGAACUCGGGUGAAGGAACUAGGCAAAAUGGUGCCGUAACUUCGGGAGAAGGCACGCCGGCGUAUUGUGAGAGCCCUCGCGGCUUAAGCGAGAACCGGUCGAAGAUACCAGGUGGCUGCAACUGUUUAGUAAAAACACAGCACUCUGCUAACGCGCAAGCGGACGUAUAGGGUGUGACGCCUGCCCGGUGCCGGAAGGUUAAAUGAUGGUGUUAGCCCUCGGGCGAAGCUCUUGAUUGAAGCCCCGGUAAACGGCGGCCGUAACUAUAACGGUCCUAAGGUAGCGAAAUUCCUUGUCGGGUAAGUUCCGACCUGCACGAAUGGCGUAAUGAUGGCCACGCUGUCUCCACCCGAGACUCAGUGAAAUUGAAAUCGCCGUGAAGAUGCGGUGUACCCGCGGCUAGACGGAAAGACCCCGUGAACCUUUACUAUAGCUUCACACUGGACGCUGAUGUUGCCUGUGUAGGAUAGCUGGGAGGCUUUGAACUUUGGACGCCAGUUCGAAGGGAGCCAACCUUGAAAUACCAGCCUGGCAUCAUUGGCGUUCUCACUCAGGUCCGUUAUCCGGAUCGAGGACAGUGUGUGGUGGGUAGUUUGACUGGGGCGGUCUCCUCCCAAAGCGUAACGGAGGAGCACGAAGGUUGGCUAAGUACGGUCGGACAUCGUACGGUUAGUG
rnacentral:rRNA from 1 species